UACGUAGGGUGCGAGCGUUGUCCGGAAUUAUUGGGCGUAAAGAGCUCGUAGGCGGUGUGUCGCGUCGGCCGUGAAAACCUGCAGCUUAACUGCGGGCUUGCGGUCGAUACGGGCAUCACUGGAGUUCGGCAGGGGAGACUGGAAUUCCUGGUGUAGCGGUGAAAUGCGCAGAUAUCGUUUGGAACGCCAAUGGUGAAAACAGACAGCUGGGAGUGUGCUGACGCUGAGACACGAAAGCCAGGGGAGCGAACGGG
rnacentral:rRNA from 1 species